UGGACUCCAGACUCCACACCCCCAUGUACUUCUUCCUCUCACACCUGGCCGUCGUCAACAUCGCCUAUGCCUGCAACACAGUGCCCCAGAUGCUGGUGAACCUCCUGCAUCCAGCCAAGCCCAUCUCCUUUGCUGGCUGCAUGACAUAGACCUUUCUCUUUUUGAGUUUUGCACAUACUGAAUGCCUCCUGUUGGUGCUGAUGUCCUACGAUCGGUACGUGGCCAUCUGCCACCCUCUCCGAUAUUUCAUCAUCAUGACCUGGAAAGUCUGCAUCACUCUGGCCAUCACUUCCUGGACAUGUGGCUCCCUCCUGGCUAUGGUCCAUGUGAGCCUCAUCCUAAGACUGCCCUUUUGUGGGCCUCGUGAAAUCAACCACUUCUUCUGUGAAAUCCUGUCUGUCCUCAGGCUGGCCUGUGCUGAUACCUGGCUCAACCAGGUGGUCAUCUUUGCAGCCUGCAUGUUCAUCCUGGUGGGACCACUCUGCCUGGUGCUGGUCUCCUACUCACACAUCCUGGCGGCCAUCCUGAGGAUCCAGUCUGGGGAGGGCCGCAGAAAGGCCUUCUCCACCUGCUCCUCCCACCUCUGCGUAGUGGGACUCUUCUUUGGCAGCGCCAUCGUCAUGUACAUGGCCCCUAAGUCCCGCCAUCCUGAGGAGCAGCAGAAGGUCCUUUUUCUAUUUUACAGUUCUUUCAACCCGAUGCUAAACCCCCUGAUUUACAACCUGAGGAAUGUAGAGGUCAAGGGUGCCCUGAGGAGAGCACUGUGCAAGGAAAGUCAUUCCUAAGAGGUGUGACAUUUGAACUGCCAGCCUCAGUUGUCACGUGGACUCUUGAUGCCCAAUUAUUGCCUCAAUCCAGAAAAGUUUACUUCUCUUUAUCUGUGCUUUACUGACAGAAGGGCAAGUCUUCUCUCGUUUUUUGCAGAUAAAAUUUUAGAUGUGUUGCAUUCAUUGGGUUUCUAUGAGAUGUGGUUUUAUCAGACAAU